GACAGAGGGUGCAAACGUUGUUCGGAAUUACUGGGCGUAAAGCGCACGUAGGCGGACUCUUAAGUCAGGGGUGAAAUCCUGGAGCUCAACUCCAGAACUGCCUUUGAUACUGGGAGUCUUGAGUUCGGGAGAGGUGAGUGGAACUGCGAGUGUAGAGGUGAAAUUCGUAGAUAUUCGGAGGAACACCAGAAGCGAAGGCGGCUCACUGGCCCGAUACUGACGCUGAGGCGCGAAAGCGUGGGGAGCAAACAGG
rnacentral:rRNA from 1 species